UACGUAGGGGGCUAGCGUUGUCCGGAAUCAUUGGGCGUAAAGCGCGUGUAGGCGGUUCGGUAAGUCCGCUGUGAAAGUCCAGGGCUCAACCCUGGGAUGCCGGUCGAUACUGCCGGACUAGAGUUCGGAAGAGGCGAGUGGAAUUCCCGGUGUAGCGGUGAAAUGCGUAGAUAUCGUGAGGAACACCAGUGGCGAAGGCGACACUCUGGAGAGCAACUGACGCUGAGGCACGAAGGCCAGGGGAGCAAACAGG
rnacentral:rRNA from 1 species